rnacentral:rRNA from 1 species
UACGUAGAGCGCAAGCGUUAUCCGGAAUUAUUGGGCGUAAAGAGCUCGUAGGCGGUCUGUCGCGUCUGCUGUGAAAACCUGGGGCUUAACUCUGGGCGUGCGGUCGAUACGGGCAUCACUAGAGUUCGGCAGGGGAGACUGGAAUUCCUGGUGUAGCGGUGAAAUGCGCAGAUAUCAGGAGGAACACCGGUGGCGAAGGCGGUUCUCUGGGCCUGUACUGACGCUGAGGAGCGAAAGCGUGGGGAGCGAACAGG